rnacentral:tRNA from 1 species
GGGCUCGUGGUCUAGUGGUAUGACGCGACCUUGACGUGGUUGAGAUUGUAGGUUCGAUUCCUGCCGGGCCCA